GGCAUAUCUAGGGGUGAUGGUGCUGGAGACCUCAAAAUCUUCGCAUAAUUGGGAACACGGUGCGGAUCUUUUGAUCCAAUGCCGCGACUGCCCCCGCAACUGUAAGCGGCGAGCGACCCGUCAACACCACUGGCCAAUUGGCCGGGAAGGGACGGCAAGCUGUGACCCGCAAGUCAGGAGACCUGCCAUCGCAUAUGAACGUAAC
rnacentral:ncRNA from 19 species